rnacentral:rRNA from 1 species
CGCUAUCACUCCUACGGGAGGCAGCAGUGGGGAAUAUUGCACAAUGGGGGAAACCCUGAUGCAGCCAUGCCGCGUGUGUGAAGAAGGCCUUCGGGUUGUAAAGCACUUUCAGUAGGGAGGAAGGUAGUGUAGUUAACACCUGCAUUAUUUGACGUUACCUACAGAAGAAGCACCGGCUAACUCCGUGCCAGCAGCCGCGGUAAUACGGAGGGUGCGAGCGUUAAUCGGAAUUACUGGGCGUAAAGCGCAUGCAGGCGGCCUGUUAAGUCAGAUGUGAAAGCCCGGGGCUUAACCUCGGAAUUGCAUUUGAAACUGGCAGGCUAGAGUCUUGUAGAGGGGGUAGAAUUUCAGGUGUAGCGGUGAAAUGCGUAGAGAUCUGAAGGAAUACCAGUGGCGAAGGCGGCCCCCUGGACAAAGACUGACGCUCAGAUGCGAAAGCGUGGGGAGCAAACAGGAUUAGAUACCCUUGGUAG